rnacentral:snoRNA from 1 species
CAGUCCAUCCUAAUCCCUGCUGGCCAGGCCGUGGCCCACAAGGGUUCGCUUGUGGACCACAUCACCCUAGGAAGCCUUGCCCAGCGAAUUGGUCAGACUAUUGUGGCCUCACUCCGUGGGCAUGCUCCCAGGACAGCA